UACGUAGGGUGCGAGCGUUAUCCGGAUUUACUGGGUUUAAAGGGUGUGUAGGCGGGCUGUUAAGUCAGUGGUGAAAUCUCCGGGCUCAACCCGGAAACUGCCAUUGAUACUAAUGGUCUUGAAUUUUGUUGAGGUAGGCGGAAUAAGUCAUGUAGCGGUGAAAUGCAUAGAUAUGACUUAGAACACCAAUUGCGAAGGCAGCUUGCUAAACAAAUAUUGACGCUGAGGCACGAAAGCGUGGGGAUCAAACAGG
rnacentral:rRNA from 1 species